AGAGGGGCAGGGCAUGGCUGCUCUCCUCUGGGGGAGGGAGUUCACAGCUACUGCAGCAUUGCCACAGUCUGGGGCCAGAACUGUCAGGGAAAUUCCCAGUUUUCCAAAGGCAUUGGCCUGAAACACAGUUUAUACACAGAAUCUUUGUCAUUUCCUAUCAGCCAUAAAGAGGGUCUUUAAGCACUUCUCUUGCAGACAUAAUGGUUCAAUUUGCAAGUUUAAUUUUUUUCCGUUUUUUUCCAGAGAGGCGUUGUCAAAUAUGUAUUUAUUUUUUGAGGAAAGAACAAACUUUUACAGACCUUCUGCAAAACCUUGUAAAAAUAUAAUCUCUCCUUGUGCCAGACAACCGGUGCCUGCUGACUCAAUUGCUUUUAUAUAUGACAAGGCUUGAAAAAAAUGAUUGCUGCUGCCUAACUCAGAGCAGAUUGGAGUGAAGUGCAGGACUCAUCCAUCAGAGGUGCCACGCUGGCCUGCCAUCAUCCAGCACUCCAGUGCCACUGGAGCCUCUCCUCCUGCUCUGGGACCAGAGACAGGAGACAAGACCACGUUCACAUCAUCACUGAAACAUUCCUUCCUCAGCCUCUGAACUCACUUUCUCCUCAACUGCCCCAUCCACAAGACACACGAGAAUUUGACUUUGCCCUGGUUUGUGAUGACCAGCAGUCAAGGAGGAUCUUUGCCCAGGAAGAGAAACUGUGAUCCUGUCAGCAGGGCUCUGCCCUGGCCAGGUGUGACCCAGCCCAGCCAGAUGUGCCCUGCCCCUGCUCCAGCAAAUGCGUGUCCCCCUCUGCCCAAGGUCUGGAUUUUUGGUGAGCAUCAGUUUGCAAUGGCCUGACCAGAACAGCUUCUGCACAGCUUCCCCUGCACCAAGAAUUCACAUUUCAAUGACUAAAUUGCAAUGAUUUCCCUCUGGCCCCAAAUCCCACACUGGAUAGGAGCCAUUCCAAUCAAAUCCCUUCCUUUAAAUCCAUCCCACCUCCUCGCAGGCAGGGCAAGCAGGGUGGGCAGCAGGCUCAGCUGCAGACCACACUUCAGCUUGUCUCUGGUUGGAGCUCCCAAAGCAGAGUGAGUAACCAGGGUAAAACAGCUUUCUGAGGGAAGGCAAUCAUCCUCCUGGGGCUGCUGAGCCUGACAGGUCCCACGUGGACCUUUGGCCUGCUCAGACUCAGCUUUAAUGUAACUAAGGGAAAAAUAUGUCUAAACAUGGGAUUUAACCCUCUGACAUGAGCUUCAUUCUGGCUGAGAGUAAAUCCCCAGGAAGCAGAGCCCAGGGCAGAGGGCACACAGCCCUGGUGCAGAACUGGGGGGGCUGGGCAGGAGCAGGGGGGCGAUGACAGCAGGACACGGAGCUGCCAGGCCACUGCCCACCUGCUGAGCCCUUUCAGGGGCCAUGGCCCCCUUCCCCCCUCCUGCUCAGCUGUGCACAGCCUGACACCCAGGGUCUCCCUCCUGUGCCCUCCCUGCGGGGGCAUUGCUGUCCCAGCCAUCUGCACUCAGCCCCAGUACCCACCAGUUGAGGCUGUGUGCCACAAAAACACGUGCUGUGCUUUGACAUAAACAAGUGGCCAAGCUGGAGUUGCACUGCCACGGUAAAUACUGGGUCAGACCCCUCUCAGCAAUGCCUGCCCCACCGUAAUGAAUAUCGAUUUUGUGCAGCUGAAAUAUAGCUACACGAUUUAAUUUUGCUGCUAAGAUUUUUGACAUGGCUGUUCUUAGAGAUUAAUGUGGAUUUAAUGAGGGAUUUGGGCUCUCAUCUGUGAUGUUCCCUCAUCCCGUGGUGUGCCAGAGCCCCGCUGCUGGCUGCUUGGCCACAUGGCUCCUGCCUGAGGGGUCCCCAACAGGGCACACGUGUCACCGUGCUGCUGGGGGGACAGCAGGGACAGGGCACUGAGCACAGGGCAGGACACUGAGCACAGGGCACUGAGCACAGGGCACUGAGCACAGGGACACUGAGCACAGGGGGGGGGGGGGGGGGGGGGGGGGGGGGGGGGGGGGGGGGGGGGGGGGGGGGGGGGGGGGGGGGGGGGGGGGGGGGGGGGGGGGGGGG
rnacentral:lncRNA from 1 species